GAUGAACGCUAGCUACAGGCUUAACACAUGCAAGUCGAGGGGAAACGACAUCGAAAGCUUGCUUUUGAUGGGCGUCGACCGGCGCACGGGUGAGUAACGCGUAUCCAACCUGCCCAUCACUUGGGAAUAACCUUGCGAAAGUAAGACUAAUACCCAAUGAUAUCCCACGAAGGCAUCGGAAUGGGAUUAAAGAUUUAUCGGUGAUGGAUGGGGAUGCGUCUGAUUAGCUUGUUGGCGGGGUAACGGCCCACCAAGGCAACGAUCAGUAGGGGUUCCGAGAGGAAGGUCCCCCACAUUGGAACUGAGACACGGUCCAAACUCCUACGGGAGGAAGCAGUGAGGAAUAUUGGUCAAUGGGCGAGAGCCUGAACCAGCCAAGUAGCGUGCAGGAAGACGGCCCUAUGGGUUGUAAACUGCUUUUAUAAGGGAAUAAAGUGGGUCACGUGUGACUUUUUGCAUGUACCUUAUGAAUAAGGACCGGCUAAUUCCGUG
rnacentral:rRNA from 1 species